rnacentral:rRNA from 1 species
UGGCUCAGAACGAACGCUGGCGGCAGGCCUAACACAUGCAAGUCGAGCGAGACCUUCGGGUCUAGCGGCGGACGGGUGAGUAACGCGUGGGAAUGUGCCCUUCUCUACGGAAUAGCCUCGGGAAACUGGGAGUAAUACCGUAUACGCCCUUUGGGGGAAAGAUUUAUCGGAGAAGGAUCAGCCCGCGUUGGAUUAGGUAGUUGGUGGGGUAAUGGCCUACCAAGCCGACGAUCCAUAGCUGGUUUGAGAGGAUGAUCAGCCACACUGGGACUGAGACACGGCCCAGACUCCUACGGGAGGCAGCAGUGGGGAAUCUUAGACAAUGGGGGCAACCCUGAUCUAGCCAUGCCGCGUGAGUGAUGAAGGCCUUAGGGUUGUAAAGCUCUUUCAGC